AGGACGAACGCUGGCGGCGUGCUUAACACAUGCAAGUCGAGCGGAAAGGCCCUUCGGGGUACUCGAGCGGCGAACGGGUGAGUAACACGUGAGCAAUCUGCCCUUAGCUUCGGGAUAGCCCCGGGAAACCGGGAUUAAUACCGAAUAUGACCUUGGCCGACAUCGGCCUUGGUGGAAAGUUUUUCGGCUAGGGAUGAACUCGCGGCCUAUCAGCUUGUUGGUGGGGUAAUGGCCUACCAAGGCGACGACGGGUAGCCGGCCUGAGAGGGCGACCGGCCACACUGGGACUGAGACACGGCCCAGACUCCUACGGGAGGCAGCAGUGGGGAAUAUUGCGCAAUGGGCGAAAGCCUGACGCAGCGACGCCGCGUGGGGGAUGAAGGCCUUCGGGUUGUAAACCCUUUCAGCAGGACGAAGCGAGAGUGACGGUACCUGCAGAAGAAGCGCCGGCUAACUACGUGCCAGCAGCCGC
rnacentral:rRNA from 1 species